rnacentral:rRNA from 1 species
CUGGAGGUAUCAGAAGUGCGAAUGCUGACAUAAGUAACGAUAAAGCGGGUGAAAAGCCCGCUCGCCGGAAGACCAAGGGUUCCUGUCCAACGUUAAUCGGGGCAGGGUGAGUCGACCCCUAAGGCGAGGCCGAAAGGCGUAGUCGAUGGGAAACGGGUUAAUAUUCCCGUACUUGGUGUUACUGCGAAGGGGGGACGGAGAAGGCUAUGUUGGCCGGGCGACGGUUGUCCCGGUUUAAGCGUGUAGGUGUGUGUUCCAGGUAAAUCCGGUUCACUUUAACACUGAGGCGUGACGACGAGGCACUACGGUGCUGAAGCAACAAAUGCCCUGCUUCCAGGAAAAGCCUCUAAGCAUCAGGUAACAUCAAAUCGUACCCCAAACCGACACAGGUGGUCAGGUAGAGAAUACCAAGGCGCUUGAGAGAACUCGGGUGAAGGAACUAGGCAAAAUGGUGCCGUAACUUCGGGAGAAGGCACGCUGACACGUAGGUGAAGUGAUUUACUCAUGGAGCUGAAGUCAGUCGAAGAUACCAGCUGGCUGCAACUGUUUAUUAAAAACACAGCACUGUGCAAACACGAAAGUGGACGUAUACGGUGUGACGCCUGCCCGGUGCCGGAAGGUUAAUUGAUGGGGUCAGCGCAAGCGAAGCUCCUGAUCGAAGCCCCGGUAAACGGCGGCCGUAACUAUAACGGUCCUAAGGUAGCGAAAUUCCUUGUCGGGUAAGUUCCGACCUGCACGAAUGGCGUAAUGAUGGCCAGGCUGUCUCCACCCGAGACUCAGUGAAAUUGAACUCGCUGUGAAGAUGCAGUGUACCCGCGGCAAGACGGAAAGACCCCGUGAACCUUUACUAUAGCUUGACACUGAACAUUGAGCCUUGAUGUGUAGGAUAGGUGGGAGGCUUUGAAGUGUGGACGCCAGUCUGCAUGGAGCCGACCUUGAAAUACCACCCUUUAAUGUUUGAUGUUCUAACGUGGACCCGUGAUCCGGGUUGCGGACAGUGUCUGGUGGGUAGUUUGACUGGGGCGGUCUCCUCCUAAAGAGUAACGGAGGAGCACGAAGGUUGGCUAAUCCUGGUCGGACAUCAGGAGGUUAGUGCAAUGGCAUAAGCCAGCUUGACUGCGAGCGUGACGGCGCGAGCAGGUGCGAAAGCAGGUCAUAGUGAUCCGGUGGUUCUGAAUGGAAGGGCCAUCGCUCAACGGAUAAAAGGUACUCCGGGGAUAACAGGCUGAUACCGCCCAAGAGUUCAUAUCGACGGCGGUGUUUGGCACCUCGAUGUCGGCUCAUCACAUCCUGGGGCUGAAGUAGGUCCCAAGGGUAUGGCUGUUCGCCAUUUAAAGUGGUACGCGAGCUGGGUUUAGAACGUCGUGAGACAGUUCGGUCCCUAUCUGCCGUGGGCGCUGGAGAACUGAGGGGGGCUGCUCCUAGUACGAGAGGACCGGAGUGGACGCAUCACUGGUGUUCGGGUUGUCAUGCCAAUGGCACUGCCCGGUAGCUAAAUGCGGAAGAGAUAAGUGCUGAAAGCAUCUAAGCACGAAACUUGCCCCGAGAUGAGUUCUCCCUGAGACUUUAAGUCUCCUGAAGGAACGUUGAAGACGACGACGUUGAUAGGCCGGGUGUGUAAGCGCAGCGAUGCGUUGAGCUAACCGGUACUAAUGAACCGUGAGGCUUAACCUUACAACGCCGAAG